GCCUACAGCCUUCCCAGUCUAAAAGUGCCUGAUCUUGUCCGAUCUCAGAAGUCAUGCAGAUGUGGGCCUGCUUAGUACUUGUAUGGGAGACCAACUAGGAACCUCAGGUGCAGUAAGCU